GUUACAAUGGGGGGUACAGAGGGCCGCUACCACGCGAGUGGAUGCCAAUCCCCAAAACCUCUCUCAGUUCGGACUGGAGUCUGCAACCCGACUCCACGAAGCUGGAUUCGCUAGUAAUCGCGCAUCAGCCACGGCGCGGUGAAUACGUUCCCGGGCCUUGUACACACCGCCCGUCAAGCCAUGGGAGCCGGGGGUACCUGAAGUGCGUAACCGCGAGGAGCGCCCUAGGGUAAAACUGGUGACUGGGGCUAAGUCGUAACAAGGUAAC
rnacentral:rRNA from 1 species